ACUAUAAUCCAACUAGGGGAACUUGUCUCUUGAUUCGAUAGUCCACGAAAAUCUUACUUAUCCUAGCAAAUAUCAGUUUACAUACCGUCGUCUAGCUGGCCUUACGAGAGAUUAAAAGCUGGCGAGAAAGGUGAAUUCCUAAUAAGACAGAUAAAGGUGCAGCUAAUGGAUAAAGGGAAGGAUGCGUUAUAAUUAAGAAUUUGAUAGUGGAAUUUUAAUGAAAAUUUAGAAGGAAAGAAGACUUAGAAGUAAUUUUUAGAGAAUACUAGAAAUGAAUUUUUAUUAGGCUCUAUAGUGUGC
rnacentral:rRNA from 1 species